rnacentral:rRNA from 1 species
AUUGAACGCUGGCGGCAUGCCUUACACAUGCAAGUCGAACGGCAGCACGGGGGCAACCCUGGUGGCGAGUGGCGAACGGGUGAGUAAUGCAUCGGAACGUGCCCAGUAGUGGGGGAUAACCCGGCGAAAGCCGGGCUAAUACCGCAUACGACCUAAGGGUGAAAGCGGGGGACGGUAAGGCCUCGCGCUAUUGGAGCGGCCGAUGUCUGAUUAGCAAGUUGGCGGGGUAAAAGCCCACCAAGGCGACGAUCGGUAGCUGGUCUGAGAGGAAGACCAGCCACACUGGGACUGAGACACGGCCCAGACUCCUACGGGAGGCAGCAGUGGGGGAUCUUGGACAAUGGGCGCAAGCCUGAUCCGGCCAUGCCGCGUGCGGGAAGAAGGCCUUCGGGUUGUAAACCGCUUUUGGCAGGAACGAAACGGCGCAAGCCAAUACCUUGCGCUAAUGGCGGUACCUGCAGAAUAAGCACCGGGUAACUACGUGCCAGCCGCCGCCGUAAGAC